rnacentral:rRNA from 1 species
GACGAACGCUGGCGGCAUGCCUAAUACAUGCAAGUCGAGCGUACAGAUGGAGUGCUUGCACUUCUGACGUUAGCGGCGAACGGGUGAGUAACACGUAGGGAAUCUACCUAUAAGCGGGGGAUAACAUUCGGAAACGGGUGCUAAUACCGCAUAAUAUCUUCUUCCGCAUGGAGGAAGAUUGAAAGACGGCUCUGCUGUCACUUAUAGAUGACCUUGCGGUGCAUUAGUUAGUUGGUGGGGUAAUGGCCUACCAAGACGAUGAUGCAUAGCCGACCUGAGAGGGUGAUCGGCCACAUUGGGACUGAGACACGGCCCAAACUCCUACGGGAGGCAGCAGUGGGGAAUCUUCCGCAAUGGGCGAAAGCCUGACGGAGCAAUGCCGCGUGAGUGAAGAAGGCCUUCGGGUCGUAAAACUCUGUUAUAAGAGAAGAACAAAUUGUAGAGUAACUGCUACAGUCUUGACGGUAUCUUAUCAGAAAGCCACGGCUAACUACGUGCCAGCCGCCGCGGUAA